rnacentral:lncRNA from 1 species
GCCGACGCCCGGCGUCGCGACGCCACUCUCGCACGCAACGCCGUCGCCGGCCGUCGUCGUGGUCGUCUACCUCCGUCGUUUUUCCUGUCCGCCGCCGUCGCCGCCAUCCGGGCUGUCCGCCGCGCGGAUUUUUCGCACGCCAACUAUGGGGCUUCGGCGCCCGGCAAAUGAAGGACGCGGGCCCGCGGCAAGUGCAUCCUCUCUUUGCGGCAAACGGGGCGCCCGACAUCGCGGUGUAAUCAGACACCGGCGCACUGGGUGGAUUGGCCCCGAAGGGGGCGGCAGGGACGGGAGGGACGGCCAGAGACGUAAACGUAAUUGGAAACAUCCGAGAGGAAGAUCCGCUUCUGAUCCGCGCCGCGAUCUUCUCCGCUCUCCCCUCGGUGCUUCUUCGUGCGCGGUGCAAUACAGACGCCCGUGCUUCUCCGCUUUUUCUCGCGCGCGGCUAUCCGGCUAUCCCGCGUCGCGACGGCGACGCGAAAACUCGCGGAAGAUCCUCGCGAGGUCACCGAGGCUUGAGGGGUGAUUGGUUAUUACAAACGCCGUCAAAGAUCGCGCGCGACUGUACCAUUGCUGCUUUUCCGUCGACGAAUAUCGCAUUCGCACAGUUUUCCGGAUAACUAUUAACGAUAUUUGCUUUCUUUUCCCGUGCAACCGUAAAAGUAUUAUAUUCGCGCGCGAGUAGUGAGACGCAGCCCGGGGGUGAAAGAGAGACGCUUUCUUUGUGCGGCGACGUUUUCCAUUACGUACGCGCGCCGCUUUGUAAAAUAGCGGGGCGCGCGCACCACGCAUGAUUAGGCAGAGCUACCCCGACGGUUAAUGCGCUGCGUGCGGCUCUCUACGGUGUAAAGAAGGUGUAAAUACCUCCCGAUGAUUCCUCGUAGGAUCGAGGUGGUUCGCGCAAAGGGAAGCCGACACGGAGGCGGCUCCUUUCUCGUCGAUAGUUUCAAUGGAGAGAGUUUUUCUCAUAGUGCACCCUCUUGUCCUCCUGUCCCUCUCUCCCUUCCUUUCUCCCUCUUUCUCUUUUCCCCCGUACAUGUCGAUGCACGCGUGUACACGAGGAACGGUGGAGAAAGAAAAAAAAAGCGGCGAGAGAUCUCAAAAGGUACGCGGAGCACCGCCUCUGAUGAAUGCCGCAACCAGUUGGCCACCAUGUUUUCCCUCCGCCGAUGCGUGUACGCCCUACUCUGCGAAACAUGCUCCCCCCGCGCGGCCCGACCCGUCCCUCGCCGUGCGUGCCGACUUUCCAACCCCUCGCAAAACCGCGAUUGAACCCCUUGUACAUCCAGCGCGUAUACUGCACGCCUGCGGUAGGGAGGUGAUUUUACGUGCGCUUUGUGCGAGCGGCGGAAUGUGUAACUUCUCUUGCACAGUUGUCGCGGGCGCAACGCGUUGCGGAAAAUGUACACUGAUAAAUUGGAUCGCCGCCAACGAUCUCCGAGCGAGAACGAUUAUAUACAUCAGCCAUGCGUUUCGCAAUAUGAUGCAUAAACUCACUGACGAGAUCUGAAGUGCUCGCCAGUUAAAAUGGAAGAUAAACAGAGGGCAGGAAGGGAGAAAAGGGAAAACGAUGAAGCCGCAAUUGAAUGCUUGAAAUAAUGCUCUGAACAACAAAUGUUAAUAUUCCUCACUUUCCUUGUAAUGCGACGCCGCGGGAGCCGGAGCGGAGAAGUAGAGCAAAGAUGAGAGCGGUAAAAGAAGCAAAAGGAGACGGACGAAAGGACAGAAAAAAGGGAGAAAAAAAGACGAUGGCCAGGGCGAGGAGGAUAAAGCCGGCCGAUAAACAAACUGCUGAGAAUCGCGGCACUUUAAUCUUCCUUCGGAGGCAUCGGCCGCUCUUUUGCGGCGUUGAAUGUAAAAGGGCGCAGGGGGCCCGAUCCCUCUCGUCUCCUUCGCCCCCCUCGUAUCCCUCCUGGAUGCACUCGACCCCGCGACUCAUUAUGGCAACAUGCGGUAAGUACGCUCGCAUUUUAAGCCCCACCGUGCCCCUCGACCGACGGACACGACCGACAAACGGCGUCUGGGUAUUGGUUACACGUGUACGUGUGCGCGGGGUACAUUGGGGUGGUAAAAAGAGGCUGGUUCGAGGGCCCGCGAGGUCGGCAUCGCCGCCACGGCGCUUUCGGAACUGGCGGGGCCGGCGAUACAGGGUGGAGGAGCGGCGCAUCCCUUAUUCCGCGGCGGCUCGUUGCACGGCUCGGCGCAUCCGAAUGGUCUCAUUCCCUUGAUCCGGCGGUUCCAGGUGGUUCCCCCGCCUCUCCGGGUGUACUCACGAAAAUUAGGCAUCCCAGAUACCGAGCCGAUGGUCCGCGCUUACAGCUGCGGCACGCUGAAAGCGGAAUCCGCGCGUGUCUUCUUCACCUUUGUCCUGCUCGUCCUCGCCUCGGUCGUCCUGGCAUUUUCUCGACAGUGCAUCUCCAUGGAUUAGCCGUAAAAAGCGUGGAAAUGUAUUACCGCUGUUAAUCUGGCUUAAUGUCCAUCUAAACUAAAUUAUUUUUUUUAUGAAGCGUAAACUGAGGUGGAUUUACAAAAACAAAACGUGAGGCUGAGAAUCUCAUACAUCGGCAAACUCCUUCGACCGCUUUUGCAGUUGGCACAUAUUAACGCAAUCCGCCGAGUUUUCGCGAGAACUUCCAUUCGAACCUCCGUAACUCGAAAUAAGCCGUCUUUGCAAAUCUACCGAGCGUCUGCCGAGGGAUAAUCGAAUAAGUUUUAGAUUCCUAGCUCGCAACAGAUAUAAGGAUGCUUCUGCCGUGUCUGAACGGAAUUCUAAAUCAGACGUGAUUUCUCGAUUGUGGUAUCCGUCGUUACUUUCGGGUGACAAUCUACGAGCGCGAGUAGAGCGAAUAGUCCUCGCAAGGAGCGAGCGAUCAGGUAAGAGAAGAAGAGCAUUACAUCGUGUGGUACCUGGCGGGACCCAGGAGAUAAUCCGGGCGGUGCGAUGGCGACCGGUGCUGACGUGUGGAGGGACUUACCCCCACCUCAUUUACCCCCCGACGGUACAGAGUGCCAACCCCCGAAGUAAGAGGCAACGAUACCGCCGAGAGGUAUCUGAAAGGCCGCUGCGAAUAACGCGCUUACGCGCGAUCAUCCGACCGCGAUCCUCGAUGCCUGUGACAGAUCGUGCCGUCGCGGCAUCCUUCUGAAUAUCGCGGGGGCUUUAGCCCCCCGCGCUAAAGAGCGAAAAGGCCUGAGGGGUGACGGAAGGACGCUAAGUCUUUCGUGGAUGGCCGGGCGCGCGCUCCGGCCCGGCGACAAUACGGUGUAGAUUACUUUUCAGGAUGGGCGGCGUGACGUAAACGCGCUCCGGCGGUUUUUCUUUGCGAACAAUGCCCGUGUUUGCCGACACAAUUUGCCUCGGAUUUAGCCGCGCUGCAUAAAAUGCCGAGUGAUGCGAUCGAGCUCCCUGUAAGGCCUGCACUCAUGCGAGUGCCCGCGCUUAUCGUUACUCACGUUGGCAAACAUUGAGCUCUUUUGUAAAGUAUCGUUGAUGGGAAGAACAAAGAGAGGAGAUUGUGGUCGGCUUGAUUAUUAAAAACAUUAUAUUUUUUAAGGUUUUGUUUUGAAAAUCACACGGGCUCAAUUUUAAAUUGUAGUAUACGUAAUCCAAUGAUGCACAUGAUGUAGACUUCAUAAUCUCGUUGUUUCUUUAGGUAUCCCAGAUAUUAUUCCUCCAGUUUAGGCCUUCUAGGAAUGCACGUGGCCGAGCCGGUUUUGGUAGUUGAAGAAACUCGUCAUACUGCACGUAAUAUUACCUCACGCGCGCGGCAUGAUAUUAACGGGGACGUCUCUCAAGAACUUGGAAAAGGGUCGAGCAGUGGGCCGCGAUCGAGAUUGAUUUGAUCUACCGCCGACAGGGUGGCAGGCGAAACGACAUGCCCUGGAUAUUGGGGGCCUGAUGAAGGCUUCUCGGAUGUCAUGCCGGUUAGAGAGCGAGAGAAGGCAAGAGAGACAGAGAACGAAGAGCAGAAGAGGAAGAGGACAGGGAGAUGGAGAGACAGAGGCUGAUUGAAAUAGAAUGGGAAACUGAGCGAGAGGGACGCAUUCCUAGACGGCUUAUAGCUAUCGCAUGGACCAUCGCACGGUUUCUCACAUUUCCAGAGGUAGCGGAUUUGUUUCUUCGUUCUUAUAUGGCCUUAUGGAGUAGCUUCUUACUCGCAGGUCGCAGCUCGUAUAAAAGGCACCCCGCGGACGCAACAGCGGUGUCAUCUUCGAGGAAUUUAGAACUAUCGGGUCUCCUUUAUUGGAGAUUAUGUGAUACUGUCAUGAUACUAUUGCUGGCAGGUAUCCUUUAUCUCCAAUGAAAUUAUUUGUUGUCUCUGAAAUUAUACUAUUAAUUACUCUUAAUAUCAUCAGCAUUUAUGAAUAUGUUUAGCAUAAUAUGCGAUGUAUGUAUCAGUUUUGUAAGUUUCUGACGGUGACAAUAAAAUUCCCAUUACCUUUGAGA